rnacentral:rRNA from 1 species
UAAGGUUAAGUUAAUAAGGGCGCACGGUGGAUGCCUUGGCACUAGAAGCCGAAGAAGGACGUGACUAACGACGAAAUGCUUUGGGGAGCUGUAAGUAAGCGCUGAUCCAGAGAUGUCCGAAUGGGGGAACCCACUAGUUAAUGACUAGUAUCCAUAUCUGUUAAGGAUAUGAGAAGGAAGACGCAGUGAACUGAAACAUCUAAGUAGCUGCAGGAAGAGAAAGCAAAAGCGAUUGCCUUAGUAGCGGCGAGCGAAACGGCAGGAGGGCAAACCGAAGUGUUUACACUUCGGGGUUGUAGGACUGCGAUAUAGGAUUAAUCAUUAUAGAAGAAUUACCUGGGAAGGUAAGCCAAAGAGAGUAACAGCCUCGUAUUUAAAAUGAUAGAUUAACCUUAGCAGUAUCCUGAGUACGGCGAGACACGCGAAAUCUCGUCGGAAUCUGGGAGGACCAUCUCCCAACCCUAAAUACUCUCUAGUGACCGAUAGUGAACCAGUACCGUGAGGGAAAGGUGAAAAGCACCCCGGGAGGGGAGUGAAAUAGAACCUGAAACCGUGUGCCUACAACAAGUUCGAGCCCGUUAAUGGGUGAGAGCGUGCCUUUUGUAGAAUGAACCGGCGAGUUACGAUAUGAUGCGAGGUUAAGUUGAAGAGACGGAGCCGUAGGGAAACCGAGUCUUAAUAGGGCGUCAUAGUAUCAUGUUGUAGACCCGAAACCAUGUGACCUACCCAUGAGCAGGUUGAAGGUGAGGUAAAACUCACUGGAGGACCGAACCAGGGCACGUUGAAAAGUGCUUGGAUGACUUGUGGGUAGCGGAGAAAUUCCAAACGAACUUGGAGAUAGCUGGUUCUCUCCGAAAUAGCUUUAGGGCUAGCGUCGAUGUUAAGUCUCUUGGAGGUAGAGCACUGUUUGGGUGAGGGGUCCAUCCCGGAUUACCAAUCUCAGAUAAACUCCGAAUGCCAACGAGAUAUAAUCGGCAGUCAGACUGCGAGUGCUAAGAUCCGUAGUCGAAAGGGAAACAGCCCAGACCACCAGCUAAGGUCCCAAAAUAUAUGUUAAGUGGAAAAGGAUGUGGGGUUGCACAGACAACUAGGAUGUUAGCUUAGAAGCAGCUAUUCAUUCAAAGAGUGCGUAAUAGCUCACUAGUCGAGUGACCCUGCGCCGAAAAUGUACCGGGGCUAAAACAUAUUACCGAAGCUGUGGAUGACACAAAAGUGUCAUGGUAGGAGAGCGUUCUAUGUGUGAAGAAGGUGUACCGUGAGGAGCGCUGGAACGCAUAGAAGUGAGAAUGCCGGUAUGAGUAGCGCAAGACAGGUGAGAAUCCUGUCCACCGUAAGACUAAGGUUUCCAGGGGAAGGCUCGUCCGCCCUGGGUUAGUCGGGACCUAAGGAGAGACCGAAAGGUGUAUCCGAUGGACAACAGGUUGAUAUUCCU